rnacentral:rRNA from 1 species
UACGUAGGGUGCGAGCGUUGUCCGGAAUUAUUGGGCGUAAAGAGCUCGUAGGCGGUGUGUCACGUCGGCCGUGAAAACCUGCAGCUUAACUGUGGGCGUGCGGUCGAUACGGGCAUCACUGGAGUUCGGCAGGGGAGACUGGAAUUCCUGGUGUAGCGGUGAAAUGCGCAGAUAUCAGGAGGAACACCGGUGGCGAAGGCGGGUCUCUGGGCCGAUACUGGAGCUGGGGAACGGAAGCGUGGGGAGCAAACAGG